GACCAUACCACGUUGAAACAACGGUUCUCGUACGAUCACCGAAGUUAAGCAAUGUCGAGCUUGAUCAGUACCUAGAGUGGUAACCGCUUUGGAAUACAAGGUGCUGGA